rnacentral:rRNA from 1 species
UACGAAGGGUGCAAACGUUGCUCGGAAUCAUUGGGCGUAAAGCGCACGUAGGCGGCUUCGCAAGUCGGAUGUGAAAUCCCUCGGCUCAACCGAGGACGUGCAUCCGAAACUGCGAAGCUUGAGUACAGAAGAGGAUCGCGGAAUUCCCGGUGUAGAGGUGAAAUUCGUAGAUAUCGGGAGGAACACCGGUGGCGAAGGCGGCGACCUGGGUCGAUACUGACGCUGAUGCGCGAAAGCGUGGGGAGCAAACAGG